rnacentral:rRNA from 1 species
CUGCAGUAGGGAAUAUUGCACAAUGGGCGAAAGCCUGAUGCAGCAACGCCGCGUGCGCGAUGAAGGCCUUCGGGUCGUAAAGCGCUUUUCGGGGAGAUGAGGAAGGACAGUACUCCCCGGAAUAAGUACCCGCUAACCCUCGUGCCAGCAGCCGCGGUAAGACGUAGGUGGCGAGCGUUAUCCGGAUUUACUGGGCGUAAAGCGCGUGCAGGCGGUUCGGUAAGUCGGGCGUGAAAUCUCCUGGCUCAACUGGGAGGGGCCGUCCGAAACUACCGGACUUGAGGGCAGUAGAGGGAGGUGGAAUUCCGGGUGUAGUGGUGAAAUGCGUAGAUAUCCGGAGGAACACCGGUGGCGAAAGCGGCCUCCUGGGCUGCCCCUGACGCUCAGACGCGAAAGCUAGGGGAGCGAACGGGAUUAGAAACCCCGGUAGUCCUAGCCAUAAACGAUGCUAACUAGGUGUCGGCGGAACUAAACCCUGCCGGUGCCGAAGCUAACGCGAUAAGUUAGCCGCCGUGGGACUACGGCCGCAAAGGUU